AUUCCAGCUCCAAUAGCGUAUAUUAAUGUUGUUGCAGUUAAAAAGCUCGUAGUUGGAUUUCUGGUUUCACAGAACUGGCCUACUUCCUCAAGGUCGUGUGCGCCGUGUUUUGUGUACCAUCCUUCUAGAAAUUGUGUUCCAUCCCUUCACUGGGAUAGAUCCGAGAUCUAGAUCAUUUACUUUGAAGAAAUUAGAGUGUUCAAAGCAGGCUCGCGCUGUGAAUACAUUAGCAUGGAAUAAUAAUUUAGGACUUGGUAUCCUAUUUUGUUGGUUUUCAGGAUCUAAGUAAUGAUUGAUAGGGAUAGUUGGGGGUGCUAGUAUUUUGCGGCCAGAGGUGAAAUUCUGUGAUUCGCGAAAGACUAACUUAUGCGAAAGCAUUCACCAAGGAUGUCUUCAUUA
rnacentral:rRNA from 1 species